rnacentral:lncRNA from 1 species
AAAAAAAAAAGGCAGGAUGAGACACUUGCAAAAAUAAAAGUCAGGACGACAAUUUAGGUAAAAAAAAGUCAGAAUAAACUAAAAAAAAAAAAGCAGGACAACAGAGUGAAAAUAAAAAGGCAGGACAGAGAUUACAGCUAAAAAAAAUGCAGGACAAAAUUUUUCAUCCUAGCCCCCCCAUAAAUAUCAAAUGGUAGCUCCCU